UACGUAGGGUGCAAGCGUUGUCCGGAAUUAUUGGGCGUAAAGAGCUCGUAGGCGGUUUGUCGCGUCUGCUGUGAAAAUCCAGGGCUUAACCCUGGACCUGCAGUGGGUACGGGCAGACUGGAGUGCGGUAGGGGAGAUCGGAAUUCCUGGUGUAGCGGUGAAAUGCGCAGAAUAUCAGGAGGAACACCGGUGGCGAAGGCGGAUCUCUGGGCCGUAACUGACGCUGAGGAGCGAAAGCAUGGGGAGCGAACAGG
rnacentral:rRNA from 1 species